rnacentral:rRNA from 1 species
UACGUAGGGCGCAAGCGUUGUCCGGAAUUAUUGGGCGUAAAGAGCUCGUAGGCGGCUUGUCACGUCGAUUGUGAAGGCCCGAGGCUUAACCUCGGGUCUGCAGUCGAUACGGGCUAGCUAGAGUGUGGUAGGGGAGAUCGGAAUUCCUGGUGUAGCGGUGAAAUGCGCAGAUAUCAGGAGGAACACCGGUGGCGAAGGCGGAUCUCUGGGCCAUUACUGACGCUGAGGAGCGAAAGCGUGGGGAGCGAACAGG